CAGGCCAGCGGGGCUGGAGUAUCACAAAUAGAGGCUACAGCCCAUGUGGAAGUGAGGAUCGCGCUUGCUGAUCCUAAAGCCCAGGUGGGCAUUCCGUCGUGGGGAAGGUAGAGGGGGUUAGGACACUCCUGUGCUCAACCUGUUAAGCAUUCCGGGUCUGAUAUCACCUCUAAUUUUAAAUCCACAUAGGCAAUACUUAUUCAUCCUUUAAUCUUGUGCACAUCCCCUACGAAGGAUAGUUCUGUUGAGUUUUACUUUCCAUAGUUAGAAUUAUCAAAUCAAUAGCACAUAUUGAAUCUGCCCUUUUCAAUGACCUCACCACCUCCCCCUGCUCCCACCCGACACAAGAUCCCAUUAGGCUUUCCUGAGGAUUAAGAAUCAUUUGUCCAAAAUAUAAACUUACUGGUGGGUUAUAAAAUGACUGUGCUGAAAACAGAAUCACUGACCUGUAGACGCCUCGAGGACAGGAGUCCUAACUUUCACAUCUUAACAUCCCCUAAAGCGUUCAGCACAGUUUCUUGCACACACCAGAUGCUCAGCGCUGAGUUAAAUUUAACUUGAGAUAAAUUGAAUUCGCACACAAAUAAACAAGGAGCAGAGAUAGUAUUGAAACCUCCCUGAUGGAUUGUGCUCAGGCUUUCUGCACACACGAAACCAGAGAAGCCUCAAAGCCCAGAGCCAAGGGGGAGAGCACUUCCCCAGGAGAAGACACAUCGCCAGCCCUUGUUCCUGAAGAAAGUCGUUCAGCCACCAGAAGACAGCUCGGAGGAAGGCCCCUCUACGCGAGCUGUUCUCGUCAGCACGCAGACUCCGUUGUUACUACCCUGGAUGACUGCUUUAUGAUGAAACCAAGACCCAAGAGAAAGGAAGUGACCCCAUUUCUGCCCUUGAUCUUGAAUUGGAUGUCAGUUUAUUUGCAGUUGUUAUAAAGAAGCAGUUAGUGAAAAUAAGGCCUGGUGCCUCCCAGAAAUGGAAAGAAGGCAGCAUGGCAGGGACCUGCUGUAUCACUCAUGCGGAGAGUUUAUAGAAGUACCAAUAUUGCGCCCUCUCCUCUUGACAAUUCUGAUUUAGAGGUCUGCGGAGGAAGUCCAAGUCUGCUCUCAUUUCCCCGGGUGAUUCCGAUGCACAGAAGGCUUGGACACGGUUGUUGCGUCCUAUCUCCCUACCCCCCUCGCCACCUCCCACAGUCCCUUCCCCAGCCUUGAGGAGCUGGGCAUCACAGCUCCGCCUCCUUCUGCGCUCAUACUAGGCUGGAGGGGAGGACGGACUGGUGCAGUUCCCAGCAACCCAUUACUCACCACGGCUGAUUCAACUAAUAAAACAGUAGAGUAAAUACGCACAACACUUGCUGUGCACCAGGCACGAGGCUAACUCUUUACCUGUGUUUCAGCUGAUGUGGUCUGAGGAGAAGACCCUUCCCUUGCCUGGAGGCUGUGUAAUAACCUUACCUGCAGAGUGAUGCUUAUCUCCUCAAGACCCACCCCACCACCCUCAUUGCUUCCAGACCCACAACUAGAGGCCGACCCCAGUGGGAUAAGCGCUAAAUCUGACCCAGAUGGACAUAGCAGAUACGUGAAGAGAACAGAAGAAGUUUGCUAAUUUAUAUCAGCAGGGACCAGGAACAUCUGUGUGGGGAAAGAUUCUAAAGAUGUUAGUCCAAGGAGGAUGUAAUAUAAUGUUGAAUUGAGAAAAUCGUAUCGAUGUGGCAUGCCGGGACCUGAGAUCCUGGAUUAAACGCUCAGCUCCAGCAAUAGUCUGUUUGCCUGAAUGACUAAAGCCUGGGCCCAACAACAAACUACAUUCACUAACACUGAGAUGCCAACACCACCCUGGUGCAAUGCAGGAGCGUCAGGAGGAGGGAGUAGAGCGCGUUUUGUGUGGUCCACCUGCCGGCAGCCGCUGGGUCUGGCCUGGGACUUUCUCCCCUGUUCGCAACGUGGACAGAUUUCUCUCCUCACUUGAUCUGCAGUGAACGUGCUGAACUCUCUCCUCUGAUGUUUCUCCCUCCUGUUCUCUCUGCUGUUUGGGUUGUAAGUGUUUAUAAACGUCGACACCUCUAUUUUGGUUGAAAUUCUGGGAGAUAAGGAAAUUGAACAUGUACGUUUUCAAUCUGCCAUCUUGACCAGAUCAGUAUUUUUUUAUAAAUGGGACAUACACAU